AUUUACUUGGACAAAGGGUCUGGUGUUUGUAGUGCUGGAACUGCUAUAGCUAUAUAUUUACCAUGGCGAGUACACUUUAAAGGGAUAGCAGCUAUCAUGACACGGUCUCGCAUUCCAUACAUCUAGCUAGCUGUUAGCGCGCUACCUAAUUAGCUUAGCUAACCACAGUAGAUAGCUACUUCCUUGUUCAUUCAGCUAGCUAGUUGAGGCCGGGUACGUCCAUUACAACCAGCAGCCUAGUUUGUGACGAAAAUAUUGAACCCUUGCUCGGCUUGUGGUGUCAGAGUGCCUGCUGGUGUUAUCUGUUCUGACAUAAGACAGAAUGUCAGAAGGAGACAGCGUCGGUGAAUCGAUCCAUGGGAAACCGUCAACGGUUGGACGCUUUUUCACGAGACUUGGCCAGGUCUAUCAGUCAUGGUUGGACAAGUCAACGCCAUUCGCUGUUGUGCGGUGGGGUGCCACACUCUUACUAACUGCCAUCUACAUGAUCAGAGUGUAUAUUCUACAGGGAUGGUACAUAGUCACAUAUGCUCUGGGCAUCUAUCACCUCAACCUGUUCAUUGCUUUCCUGUCGCCAAAAGUGGACCCGUCUCUGCUUGAUGACGGAGACGAGGGUCCGGCGUUGCCCACCAAGCAGAAUGAGGAGUUCCGGCCUUUUAUUAGGAGACUACCUGAAUUCAAGUUCUGGCAUUCGGCAACAAAAGGCAUCGUCAUUGCAAUGAUUUGCACGUUCUUUGAAGCCUUCAACGUGCCAGUGUUCUGGCCUAUACUGGUUAUGUACUUCAUCAUGCUCUUUUGUAUCACCAUGAAGAGGCAGAUCAAGCAUAUGGUCAAGUACAGAUACCUGCCCUUCACUCACGGAAAGAGAACAUACAGAGGCAAGGAAGACACAGGGAAACCAUUUGCUAGUUAAAAUCACCCAACAUCCCAGGUCCCCCACCUGUAAUUAAACUAAUUGAUGAGGAAUGGUGCGUAAAAGGGGUCGGAGAAGGGUUUUGUUUUAUUUUCUUUUGUUCAUAUAUAUAUAUUUCUUUUUUUAUGAACCGUGUAAAUGGGAGGGAAAAGAGUUUUGAUCCAUGCUGACAGUGUUUAGUUAUGGACAGCCCCUCUGAUUGGGCGAGACCAUCACGCUGCCUUUUGAUUGACUGUGGGCCAUAAAGGAUUUUUCUUUUUCUGGGUUUUCUGCGGGCUGCUCUGGGGUAUGCUCUGUACCUAUUUGGGUAGUGGUUGUUUGGGAUGGUGUGGAGGGGUGGCUGGGGGGGGUGUCUUUGCCUUCUGACCCUGCGGGGUGGUAAGUAUUUACUAAUGUAGUUGGGGGACGCUAGGUAUUCUGCAGUUUCCUAGUUCCCAGUCAUUAAGAUCACCCCCUCAACACUUUCCACUCUUCCUUUCCCCCCUCACCCACUAGAUCUAUAAACCUUACGGGUUCUACUUGAGGUCCACAACAUCCAGUGGUAAAGGUGCUUGCAGCUGUCAUAGAAACCCUAUCUUCAUCAGAAUGGAAGUUCUUAAGUUCUAGAACUUGAUUUGUUAGACAUCCACCGAGCUUCAUGACUCUGUGUCUGCCUCAUCAAUUCUGUUGUGGAUCCACCUGUUAGCCAGUAAACCAGCAAACUGUCUCAAUGAAAAUUCCUUCAGAUCUCACUGCAGUAACUUUGCCUUGUGGGUGGAAGAGGAUCUUUGGGUGUGGAAAGCACUAGUGCUUCAUACUUUUAUUUGAAAACAAUGUCACAUGCCAAUAUAUAUAAAUAUAUAUAUAUAUUAAAUGAAUGCUUGUGUGUAGAUGAAGGCUCUUGGGAAAUGUAGUCUAACACCCUUAGCAGUAUUUGAAUGUGUAUAUAUGUUUUGUUUUGUUUGCUCCCCCACCACCUCCUUUACAGUUGUAGUGUGUAAUGCACAACCCAAGCGCUCUCCCUCCUCCCUUUCAGUCCACUUUAAUUUAGAUGUGAUGGUGAAGAGAUGGAUUAGAAGAACAAAAAGAAUAAAUGAUUAAAAGAAGGAUUCAUUCCAAUGCAUUGUACAAUGUUAACCCACUGUAGUUCUGUUUGUAUGAAUAUGUGACAAAGAGUUUAAUCAUUCCAAACAAAAAUGUUGUUUCUUGUCUCUCUUCUCUUGCAGAGGAAACAUGAACAUUGAGUGGUUUAUUAUUACAAAUGGACGGAGUGGGUUGAAACCUUUUUUUUUUUUUUUUUUUUUUUUGGAGGGGGGGGGAUGUUGGUAUGGGACUUGUGAGCUGAGGAUCGCAUUCUAACAGCUAAUGUAGAUUUUUUUUAAAAACCACAGUUUUCCUGGAGGAGAGAAAAAAAAUAAUCAACACUGUAGUUAAGGAGCAAAGCAUUUUUCCUCUGCUAGUACAUCAUGUUUUUAAGGGUUGUUUUCAGGAUUUAUACAUACAUAUAUUUUAAAGAUUUUUUUUUCUUAAGACAUGCUGUUUUCCAAGUGUUAAAUCAACUGUGUCAUAUUAAACCAAUCAAAACAAAAUGAAAAAAAAAAAAAACAUUGGAUACAGGAUUUGUAAAUUGUUUCUCAUGGAAGAAAUUGCAUGUGUUUGGUUUUCUUGUGCCGUUGACCAGAACCAGAAAAA